ACCUCGUGGCGGGGGUAGGAGGAUACCGGCCUCCGGGGACCGGGUGAGGAGGCAGGCACUGGCAGGCAGACAGUUAAUCCUUGAGAUGUGACCGCGUAAGGGUGCACCAGCAGCACCACCCUUAUCAUCUCGCACGUGGAUAGCCUUCCUGUCUCGUCAUGGAAUGUGUUCACCUUCGUCAUGAAAUGGGUGAACGAAUCAUCAUGAAGAAGGGAGUAGUGAUGAAGAACGCCUCGUUGCUGCCGGUGGCGUUGCAGAAGCAAUCGCUCGACGAUGUUUCGCUUCAAGUUCUACUGCGGCCAUUUCGAGCAUCCAAAUCGUUUCAGUACUACAUCCAUGAAGACGAUUAGGUACAGCUCACAGUUCGACAGUUAGGUCAAGUCAUUUAAGUUACCGUAUAAAACAGAAAAAAAUGCGUAGUAUCUCUUCAUUUAUGUAGAGCCAUUGAUAGAUCUUAUAGCAGAGAAUUAAGAAUGUUCCUCAGUAAAGUUCCAUUUGUUACGUGGUUCUAUUAAUAACUACUAAGGUAUUUUGAAUUUUGAAAUGAAUUGAACUCUGGAGUCAGUGUUGUCGAAAGUCGGUUUUUAAGAACCAUUUG